AGGGGUGUAGCUCAGUUGGUAGAGCAGCGGUCUCCAAAACCGCGUGCCCAAGGUUCGAGUCCUUGUACCCCUGCCA
rnacentral:tRNA from 8 species